rnacentral:rRNA from 1 species
GAUGAACGCUGGCGGCGUGCCUAAUACAUGCAAGUCGAACGCACAGCGAAAGUUGCUUGCACCUUUCAAGUGAGUGGCGAACGGGUGAGUAACGCGUGGACAACCUGCCUCAAGGCUGGGGAUAACAUUUGGAAACAGAUGCUAAUACCGAAUAAAACUCAGUGUCGCAUGACACAAAGUUAAAAGGCGCUUUGGCGUCACCUAGAGAUGGAUCCGCGGUGCAUUAGUUAGUUGGUGGGGUAAAGGCCUACCAAGACAAUGAUGCAUAGCCGAGUUGAGAGACUGAUCGGCCACAUUGGGACUGAGACACGGCCCAAACUCCUACGGGAGGCUGCAGGAGGGAAUCUUCCACAAUGGGCGAAAGCCUGAUGGAGCAACGCCGCGUGUGUGAUGAAGGCUUUCGGGUCGUAAAGCACUGUUGUAUGGGAAGAACAGCUAGAAUAGGGAAUGAUUUUAGUUUGACGGUACCAUACCAGAAAGGGACGGCUAAAUACGUGCCAGCCGCCGCAGUAA